rnacentral:rRNA from 1 species
UAGAGUUUCGUAGUCCUGGCGUCACGGAUGAACGCUGGACGGCGUGCCGUAAUACAUAGCAAGUCGAACGCUGGAAAUCUAGCUUGCUAGAUUGAAGGAGUGGCGAACGGUGAGUAAUACAUAAAGCAACUACCCACGAAGACUGGGAUAAUCUCUGAAACGGGGACGUAAUACCGGAUAGGUAAUCGGAAGGCAUCUUCUGAUUAUUAAGGUUAAAAACACUGGUGGAUGGGCUUAUGGCGCAUUAGUUAGUUGGUGAGGUAACGGCCCACCAAGACGAUGAUGCGUAGCCGGCCUGAGAGGGUGAACGGCCACAUUGGGACUGAGACACGGCCCAGACUCCUACGGGAGGCAGCAGUAGGGAAUUUUCGGCAAUGGGGGAAACCCUGACCGAGCAACGCCGCGUGAGUGAUGACGGCCUUCGGGUUGUAAAGCUCUGUUGUAAGGGAAGAACGGUAGAUAGAGAAUAUCUAAGUGACGGUACCUUACCAGAAAGCCACGGCUAACUACGUG